UACGGAGGGUGCGAGCGUUGUUCGGAAUUACUGGGCGUAAAGGGCGCGUAGGCGGCACAGCAAGUCGGGAGUGAAAGCCCGGGGCUCAACCCCGGAAUGGCUUUCGAAACUGCUGAGCUAGAGUACAGAAGGGGCAACCGGAAUUCCCAGUGGUAGCGGUGAAAUGCGUAGAUAUUGGGAAGAACACCUGAGGCGAAGGCGGGUUGCUGGGCUGAUACUGACGCUGAGGCGCGAAAGCCAGGGGAGGCAAACGGG
rnacentral:rRNA from 1 species